GAGCAACAAGCAGAAGAAGUCUGUGCUGUGAAGAACUGCCUCCAAGAAAUAUCACCGAGAAGAUAAUGUAAAAACCUUAACACCUCUCAUUCCUCAUGUGUCCUGGACUUCAUUCACUAAAUGCUUCAGGUUAAAAGCCAUUGUCCAACAACACCAGUGAAAAUCCUUCAUUUGUCUGGCCUUUCCUACAGAGUUGUAUACUGCUUGUUUUGUCUCUUUCUUAAGUUCUUCAGAAGCUCUUGAUUUUUAGCCAGUCUCAAACAGUAAUAUUUGUUGGCCACUCUCUCACCUACAAGUUCUAAAAAAUGUAAGUCCCUCAAAACUUCCAUCUUCUGCUGGACCAUCUUUCUGCAAUGAUGCUGCAUUCCUAACUUCUGAUCAAGAAGGUGAACAAAAAUAAAAUUACUGAAAUUCAGCUCAGAAAUAUGUUGGUAUAAGGGCAAAAAAUGUUGUUAUC